rnacentral:lncRNA from 1 species
UAGAAAAUAAAGAGCUCGAAAGUUUUGAAUUAAUUUUGCACUAGUAGAGUUGUAUCUCUUUUUUUAUAUUUAAAUAGAUGCGAUUAAUCUUAGGAAAAAUACCUAUCUUUUCUCGGCACACUCCGUACCCGUAGAUCAUGGUGUGUCUCCGAAAAGUACUAGGUAAACAACUCUUCUUUCCUCAACACGCUCCGUACCCA